GCUAGUGUAGCUUAACCAAAGCAUAACACUGAAGAUGUUAAGAUGAGCCCUGAAAAGCUCCAAAAGCA
rnacentral:tRNA from 1 species